CUGGUUAAUUUCGAUAACGAACGAGACCUUAGCCUGCUAAAUAGGAUCGGGAACCUCGGUUCUCGCAUCACUUCUUAGAGGGACUUUGCGUGUCUAACGCAAGGAAGUUUGAGGCAAUAACAGGUCUGUGAUGCCCUUAGAUGUUCUGGGCUGCACGCGCGCUACACUGAUGCAUGCAACGAGCUUUUGACCUUGGCCGGAAGGUCUAGGUAAUCUUUUGAGUAUGCAUCGUGAUGGGGAUAGAUUAUUGCAAUUAUUAAUCUUCAACGAGGAAUGCCUAGUAGGCGCAAGUCAGCAGCUUGUGCCGAUUACGUCCCUGCCCUUUGUACACACCGCCCGUCGCUGCAACCGAUCGAAGGGUCCUGUGAACUCGAUGGACAGCCCAUCCCCUUCUUGGGGUUGGGCUGGAAGUUGCGUAAAUAGAGCCCUUUAAAGGAUGCAAAAGUCGUAACACGGUUUCCGUAGGUGAACCUGCGGAAGGAUCAUUC
rnacentral:rRNA from 1 species